rnacentral:rRNA from 1 species
CCUACGGGUGGCUGCAGUGAGGAAUAUUGGUCAAUGGGCGUAAGCCUGAACCAGCCAAGUCGCGUGAGGGAUGAAGGUUCUAUGGAUCGUAAACCUCUUUUAUAAGGGAAUAAAGUGUGGGACGCGUCCUAUUCUGUAUGUACCUGAUGAAUAAGGAUCGGCUAACUCCGUGCCAGCAGCCGCGGUAAUACGGAGGAUCCGAGCGUUAUCCGGAUUUAUUGGGUUUAAAGGGUGCGUAGGCGGGCAUGUAAGUCAGCGGUGAAAAUCUGUGGCUCAACCAUGGUAUGGCCGUUGAAACUGGGGGGCUUGAGUGUGCUAGAGGCACGCGGAAUGCGUGGUGUAGCGGUGAAAUGCUUAGAUAUCACGCAGAACCCCGAUUGCGAAGGCAGCCUGCCAGGGCACGACUGACGCUGAUGCACGAAAGCGUGGGGAUCGAACAGGAUUAGAUACCCCGGUAGUC